GACGGAGGGUGCAAGCGUUGUUCGGAAUUACUGGGCGUAAAGGGCGCGUAGGCGGCGCGAGAAGUCGAGUGUGAAAGCCCCGGGCUCAACCUGGGAAUUGCGCUCGAUACUCUUGUGCUUGAGUUCGGGAGAGGAGCGUGGAAUUCCCAGUGUAGAGGUGAAAUUCGUAGAUAUUGGGAAGAACACCGGUGGCGAAGGCGGCGCUCUGGACCGAGACUGACGCUGAGGCGCGAAAGCGUGGGGAGCAAACAGG
rnacentral:rRNA from 1 species